rnacentral:rRNA from 1 species
UACGUAGGGGGCAAGCGUUGUCCGGAAUCAUUGGGCGUAAAGAGCGCGUAGGCGGCCCAGUAAGUCCGCUCUGAAAGUCAGGGGCUCAACCCCUGAAUGCCGGUGGAUACUGUCGGGCUCGAAUCCGGAAGAGGUGAGUGGAAUUCCUGGUGUAGCGGUGAAAUGCGCAGAUAUCAGGAGGAACACCAAUGGCGAAGGCAGCUCACUGGGACGGUAUUGACGCUGAGACGCGAAAGCGUGGGGAGCAAACAGG